CAUACCCCUGUUUCCGUCACAGUUCAGUUGGCAUAACGCUCGUUCCAGUGUGUGAGCAUCAUUUCGAGAAAACACUAUAUCUUCAGCAAAGCUUAAAGUAAAUCAACUCUGAACGAACAAGUCUCAGAAUUCAGGCAUUCCUGCUGUUACCGACCAGUAUUGUAUUCAGAAAUACCGAAUCUCUAACAAAUAUUAUACAGUGUCCCCUCCGAGGAAAAUUCAACACCAACAACAUCAACAAUAAUCUCUACAAAUAACAAACCAAGACGAGAUGCUGAAUUCUGUUCAUGUGUUUUAAAUCCAGUUUGGUUUUCCCACUUUUGACAGACCAUCAUAAUCAACAUUUUGGAAAAAUAUCAAGAGUCGAAGUUUUCAAGAACAUCCUGAGUGCCAUUGACCAAAUCAGUGUUAUCGGAAUUCUGAAUUUGGUGUAAACGAUGCGGCCGUGGUCAGUCUGGAUCAUCACCGUGGGUGUCCUUGCUGGUUUCUUCAGUCUGAGGUUUCUUUCAUUGGACUGAGACCAUGCUGCAGCAGGUCUCUGAGGGCUUUAAAUGGAUCAUAUUGAACUUAAUACUUUCUCUGGCUCCGAUGUCUUUCCCUGUACACGUAAGAUAACAAAUACAAAGCGAUUAUUGGCGUUAACGGGUGGUAAUUCUUUCGCAUACGGAUAUCGCUGCGUAUUUCCAUUACAAUGUAACAAUUUCCAAUCCUUGCUAAUAUAAGCUCGUGCUUAUACGGAAAAGCAUACAAACAUAAACAUAGAAAUACGUGUAUUGAUCUGGUGAGCGUAAAACUCGUAGAUAUAUCCAAAUAACUGAAUGUAAUAAACAGAGUCAGCUCUGAGGAGAGAAGAGUUGUAAUAGCUGUCCAUGUUGUAAGAAAACAAUUAUCGAGAACCCAAUAAGGUUUGAAAAUCAAUCAAAAUUGUCCAUCAUUUUUCUUCAAACAACGUAGUAACAGUUAAAAUUUGCUGUUUGAAUUUAUUCAUAAUAAUAAUAAUAAUAAUAAUAAUAAUAAUAAUAAUAAUAAUAAUAAUAAAAAUAAUAGUAAUUGGUGCACUAGAUAGGAACAAUACACAAUUACCAACAUGGCUCAAAAGGAUUAGUACAACUGUGUAGAUAGAACACCUACAAAAAACAUCAUUGGUUGGAAUUGCAGGUGUGCUGUCCGAAAGGUUCUUGAAGCAUGAUCAAUAAACAGGUGUCAUUUUGGUCUGCUGGCUGUGGACAGCUGACACUUUCCAUCAUACCCACCAAAAUAAACUGAGAGCUUUCAUGAAAUAAAAAUAAUUGGUCACGGUUGGAACGCAUUUCACCGUAUAUUUACUCGAUGGAGUUCUUAUCUGUCGCGAAGCCAUGAUAACAAAUGAGAGAAUGGUGGAAACGAAUUCGUCUGAAUUCUUAUUGAGACAUUUUAUUGAUUUUUACCAUUUACAUAUUCUGGAAUAUAUAUAUAUUUUUGAACAAAAUGUUCGAUAUUACAGAAACGACAGACUUUGUAAUGUUUAAAAUUAUCGAAUUUCUUGACUUUGCGUAAGAUAAGAAUGAACAUUAUUCUAUCGAUACAUUUAAAGUUCUAUUCUAUAUAAACUCCAAUUCUAUGUUCUACUGGUCAUUUGUCUACAAUCAAUUCCGGAUUACCGAUCACCCUUUGAAGAUAGGAUCGAUACGGAUACAUGUUCGCUAUGUCAGGAAAGAAGCUUUAGGCAUAAUGUUUUAUUCUUUCAAACACCGCCAUAAGUUCUUUACAUGAGCAUUGGACUCCAUC